CCCAGUAUCAAGGUGCUGGCAUCUGGCAAGAGCCUUCUUGCUGCAUCAUCUCAUGGCUGAAGGUGAGAAGAUGAGAGAAGGCCAAAGGGAGGAAAGGGGCCAAACUCAUCUGUCUAUCAGGAACCUACUCCCGAGAUAACUAAUCUAUUCUCACAAUAAUAACAUUAAUUCAUUCAUGAGGGCUGAGCCCUCAUGACCUAAUCCCCUCUUUAAGGUCCCAUGUCUCAACACUGUUGCACUGGGGAUUAAGUUUCCAACAUAUGAAAUUUUCAGGUCACAUUCAAACCAUAGCAUGCCCUUUUAAGAACCGAAGAAUAAAAAGAGACGAAAUCUUGCUAGCUGUAUCAGGAGCCCUCCAGCUGCCCCUUCCAACAUCCUCACCUUCAGAAUAACCACUAUGGCUGAGUUUAUGAUAAUCACCUCUGCAUCUUGCUUUAUAGUUUUUAUUACCAAUUACGUUUCUAAAUACUAUAGUAUAGCUCUGCCUGGUUUUAUUUGUUUGUUUAAUAUGCCUAUUGGGUCUCUUUGAAUGCAUAAGUUCUUCCUCCCUGACCUUUGAAAUUUGUUUCUUUGAAAACUGCAUCAUUUGUCUUGUAGACUUUACUCCAUUGGAAUUUUGCUGAUCGCAUGUCUGUGGUAAAGUUUAAUGUCUUCCUUAGUCUUCUGUAUUUCUUGCCAACUGAAAGUUGAUUACAGAGGCUUAAUCGUUUUUUGUUUUGAAUUUUGUGGGGAACAAUUACUUCCUAGGUGGUGUCAUAUUCUUUGUCAAGAGUGACAUUAUGUCAUUUUGUGUUGUCAGCAGCCAUUUCUGAUCAGUGGUUAGAUAUCUAAUUAAUUAGAGAUUGAAAAGGAUGAUAUUCCAGUUUGAUCACAUCUUCUUUAUUGGGAAUAUAUCUGUGCAAGGAAACAUCUACCGUCUGAUUGCCCAGUGGUUCAGAUUUUAUAGGAAAGGAGAGAUGAAUGCUUGAGUCUUUUCCUGUAUUUGCUAAUUUUCAAAACAAAAAGUUUAUUUCUUAAUAUCUUUUAAAGGUGGCCAGGAUGCUAUGUAUAAUCAGCAUUUAUAUAUAUGAAGGAACCAUGUUUAAUAUAUAAAAUUUCCCAAAAGGCACACCCUCCAACUUCCAAACUCUAUAUACUUUGUACCUCAUCAAGAUGCUAAAAAGAUUGAGAAAGUAAAUUAAAGUAUGGGAGAUAUAUAGAUAAUAACUCAACUUUAAAAAUUUAACCACCAUUUAUUUUUUGAGAGCCUACUACCUGUAAGAACUGAGUCAGGUACAGAUGUUUUAAAAUAUGGUGCCUGCCCUCAACAAACUUGCUCUCUAAUAGGGGAAACAGGGCAUUGCAUGAAACAAGAAGGGUAAGACCAUGGGGCCAAUACUGAUGGAAGAUGCUAAAGGACUGUAGAGGAUUUCCACUCACCCACUGUCAUAGCUCAGACUGCUAUAAGAAAAUACUGUAGAUUCAGUGUCUUACCCAACAAACAUGUAUUUUUUUUCAGAAUUCUAAAGGCUGCAAAGUUCAAGAUUGAGGUGCCAGCUGAUUUGGUGUCUGACUGCCAUCUUGCCGUAUGGAUUCUGGACUUGUCAGCUCACUACGACUGUACAGGAUCUCCC
rnacentral:lncRNA from 1 species